rnacentral:rRNA from 1 species
GACGACGCUGGCGGCGUGGAUUAGGCAUGCAAGUCGAACGGUAGGAUACCUUCGGGUAUCUGAGAGUGGCGAACGGGUGAGUAACACGUAGGUGAUCUACCCUCAAGAUUGGGACAACCCAGGGAAACUUGGGCUAAUACCGGAUGAAAGCAGCAGUGAUGUUGUUUGAAAGGUGGCGUAAGCUGCCGUUUGGGGAUGAGCCUGCGCUCUAUUAGUUAGUUGGCGGGGUAAAGGCCCACCAAGGCGAUGAUAGAUAGGCGGCCUUAACGGGUGGUCGCCCACACUGGGAUUGAGAUACGGCCCAGACUCCUACGGGAGGCAGCAGUCGAGAAUAGUCUACAAUGGUCGGAAGACUGAUAGUGCGACGCCGCGUGAACGAUGAAUCCCUUCGGGGUGUAAAGUUCUUUUAUAUGUGAGCAGUGCUUCUUAUAUUAACAGUAUGGGGAGAGAGAUAUUAGCAUAUGAAUAAGCAACGGCUAACUCCGUG